GACGAACGCUGGCGGCGUGCCUAAUACAUGCAAGUAGAACGCUGAAGCGAGGAGCUUGCUCUUCUUGGAUGAGUUGCGAACGGGUGAGUAACGCGUAGGUAACCUGCCUUGUAGCGGGGGAUAACUAUUGGAAACGAUAGCUAAUACCGCAUAACAAUGGAUGACACAUGUCAUUUAUUUGAAAGGGGCAAUUGCUCCACUACAAGAUGGACCUGCGUUGUAUUAGCUAGUAGGUGAGGUAAUGGCUCACCUAGGCGACGAUACAUAGCCGACCUGAGAGGGUGAUCGGCCACACUGGGACUGAGACACGGCCCAGACUCCUACGGGAGGCAGCAGGAGGGAAUCUUCGGCAAUGGGGGCAACCCUGACCGAGCAACGCCGCGUGAGUGGAGAAGGGUUUCGGAUCGUAAAGCUCUGUUGUAAGUCAAGAACGGGUGUGAGAGUGGAAAGUUCACACUGUGACGGUAGCUUACCAGAAAGGGACGGCUAACUACGUG
rnacentral:rRNA from 1 species